GAGAGUCUACCCUAGCCACAAGGGGGAGCUGCUCAAGUAGUUCAGGAUACCCCACCUAGCCCCACAAGGGUUAACGGACCCCCUACCUAUACCUAUACCUGAUGAUUACCUAUACCUGAUGAUUUUCAAUCCACAGCUAAUUUUCUUGAAUAUGUGACAAGCCUUGCAAAUUGUGAUAAUAUGUAUCAAAUUAGUGGUCGGCAUAACCCAAUAUUUGAAAAUUAUGGAGGUGCAGGCCCAAGUACUUCGAAUCAUCAACAAGAAAUCCAAGAAAGAACAGCGAAGGAAAAACGUGAGAAGAAAAGUGUUUUCUCGACUCAAGAUCGGAAGAGCAUCGUG